UAGCUGAAGGAUGGACUUAUGGCGCAUUAGCUAGUUGGUAGGGUAACGGCCUACCAAGGCGACGAUGCGUAGCCGACCUGAGAGGGUGGACGGCCACACUGGGACUGAGACACGGCCCAGACUCCUACGGGAGGCAGCAGUAGGGAAUUUUCGGCAAUGGGGGAAACCCUGACCGAGCAACGCCGCGUGAGGGAGGAAGUAUUUCGGUAUGUAAACCUCUGUUAUAAAGGAAGAACGGUGCAUGUAGGGAAUGACAUGCAAGUGACGGUACUUUAUGAGGAAGCCACGGCUAACUACGUGCCAGCAGCCGCGGUAAUACGUAGGUGGCGAGCGUUAUCCGGAAUUAUUGGGCGUAAAGAGGGAGCAGGCGGCAGCUAAGGUCUGCGGUGAAAGCCCGAAGCUAAACUUCGGUAAGCCGUGGAAACCGAGCAGCUAGAGUGCAGUAGAGGAUCGUGGAAUUCCAUGUGUAGCGGUGAAAUGCGUAGAUAUAUGGAGGAACACCAGUGGCGAAGGCGACGAUCUGGGCUGCAACUGACGCUCAGUCCCGAAAGCGUGGGGAGCAAAUAGGAUUAGAUACCCUAGUAGUCCACGCCGUAAACGAUGAGUACUAAGUGUUGGGGG
rnacentral:rRNA from 1 species